rnacentral:rRNA from 1 species
CGAGUAGCUGCGAGCGAAACGGGAACUGCUCAGCACGCAGGGGCGAUGCACUGGCGCAUCCGCCCGGUUCCGUGUACUGGAGAGCUCGUUAUCUGCCGUAACCGGUCGCUGGUUCAAGUUCAACUAGAAUGUGGCUUUUACUCCCAGAGAGGGUGAUAGGCCCGUAGAGCGGCGCACCGACGGUAGAAGAGCUCCCCAUGGAGUCGUGUUGCUUGAUAGUGCAGCACAAAGUGGGAGGUAAACUCCUUCUAAAGCUAAAUAUCACCACGAGACCGAUAGCGAACAAGUACCGUGAGGGAAAGUUGAAAAGCACUCUGAAUAGAGAGUCAAAAAGUACGUGAAACUGCCUAGGGCUCAAGCCCGCUGAACUCGAUUAUCCGAGCGGAGACAUUCACCUGCGGUCGGCCGGCGACGGCCCGCCGCAGGGCACUUGUCUCUCGCGCUAGCCAAGAGGACACUGCGAUCCAUUACGAGAGCCGGCCGUCGCCAGACGACGGCCGAUGCCCGACAACUGCCCCCCGGUGCGCGUUGAUGGCCCCACAGUAGCGACGCUCAGUUCCGAAGGCCUGUGCCGCGAGCUGGGGCCUACCGCACGUGGUGUUUUGUGUUCCGCAGUCGGGCGCGUGAUGGAUUCCCCCGGACACCGGGUGGUCUUCCCGCAAGGGGCCACCGGACUGUCGAUCGGCAGUGAACGAAUCGAGGUACCUCCGG